rnacentral:lncRNA from 1 species
CAUUUACAAUACCAUAGCCCACUAGCCCGUAAACCCAAAUACUUAGAACCCAAUUAACUUAAACUACCCACUAACCCGUUUACACCCAACCCACAAACAAGUACGGUCCAAAUGGCCCAGUUGGUUAACAAAGGAUGGAAGACCUAGGGUUUCUGGAACCCUAGGCGCCGCAACCAUCCCAAGCGUCACGCCUUUUCGCCUCACCCCGCAACUCUGGCCCCGAAUCGUGCCGCAGUCAACACGCAAAUCAGCUCCAACAUCAUCGUCAUCAGCGCCCGAUCGUCAUUGUUCAUCACCGGAUUUUCAUCGUUACCUGCAAAAAAGAAAAGAGCCACAACAGUAAAAGAAAAACAAGCAUGGAAGGAAAUCAAAGGAUACUUUCCAAAAAAUGUAUCAGAGGGUUAUAAAAACCCCUUUUCUUUAAUUUGUAAACACACGUGUUUUUGAUAGAUACAUACAGAUUCAAUAAAAAGUCAUUUUUACAUACAUACAGAAGAGUGAACCAUUGUCGAUCGAGAAAUACAAAGGUGAAUUUUUUUUUUAAAAUUUAUAUAUAUAUAUUGCGAACAAUAAAAAAGGAAAAGGGAACGUAGCAUUUUGAUUCGCACCGGAAAAAGGAAACUUUCCAGUUUCCAAUCACCGUAUGUGGCGGCAUUGAGGGGGGCGCGUGAGUGCGUGCGAACCCCUGGACAGAGGCUCGAUAGCACUCCGAGAACCCCCUUCCCAACCCUCUUUCAGAGGGUUUCCUCAUUUUUUUU